CCCGGGGCUCAAUGGAUGGAUUGUGGAAAACUGCACCGGGUUGCAGGUUGUUGAGCAACUGAUGGGACCAUCUCAGGGACCAGCGGUUACGAAAGAUGCUGAUUUGAAGAACUGCCCUGAAAACUGGGUUUUAUUCAGGCAGAUACAACUUGAUCAGCAACUCAACAGCGACUUAGUUACAAUGGCAUGUUACAGACAGUGUCACGAACACACCAUUUAAGUAUGGGUUUUUGCUGAAACCACAGUGUGUCUGGAUGUACACAAUAGCAAGAGGGCAGUUCUUGUUUUUAAGAAAAAAACCAUUCAGUUUUACCAUGAUUUCUGUUGGCAAUAAAGAGCUGUAUUGUAUAUGCACUGAUUCAAUAUUUCCUUACCAGAUGUUUAUGGGGAGCAUUUGUGGGUUGGAAAUAAAUGUUUGUGUUUCUUCUUCCAGGUUUGUGAAUUUCCGUGGAGAUUUCAGACAUAACAGUAUUUAGGAGUAGGAAUGUGGAGCAAGUAAUUGUCUAAUUUUAAUAAUUUAGAGUUUAAUAUUAUUUUCAUUCUUCCAAAUAAAUUUUACAGCAGAAAGAAACAUCUUUUUGAUUUAAAUUUAAAAAGCUCAAUGCCUGCAUGGAUAAACUUUCUGUGUGUUUGUUGUUUAAUAAUAAGAUCUGAGGAAGCUAGGUAAAGAGAUUGUGUCACCUUUCUGAUGAUAAGAAUGUCCUGGG
ensembl:lncRNA